rnacentral:tRNA from 1 species
UGGGGUAUCGUCAAGCGGUAAGACACAGGAUUUUGAUUCCUGCAUUCCUAGGUUCGAAUCCUAGUACCCCAACCA